AGCAGCCGCGGUAAUUCCAGCUCCAAUAGCGUAUAUUAAAGUUGUUGCAGUUAAAAAGCUCGUAGUUGAAUUUCGGGGUUAGUAGGCUGGUCAUGCCUCUGGUAUGUACUGGUCUCACUGAUUCCUCCUUCCUGAUGAACCGUAAUGCCAUUAAUUUGGUGUUGCGGGGAAUUUGGACUGUUACUUUGAAAAAAUUAGAGUGUUUAAAGCAAGCUAACGCUUGAAUACAUUAGCAUGGAAUAAUGAAAUAGGACGUUCGAUCCUAUUUUGUUGGUUUCUAGGAUUGACGUAAUGAUUAAUAGGGAUAGUUGGGGGCAUUAGUAUUCAAUUGUCAGAGGUGAAAUUCUUGGAUUUAUUGAAGACUAACUACUGCGAAAGCAUUUGCCAAGGAUGUUUUCAUUAAUCAAGAACGAAAGUUAGGGGAUCGAAGACGAUCAGAUACCGUCGUAGUCUUAACCAUAAACUAUGCCGACUAGGGAUCGGAUGAUGUUAAUUUUUUAAUGACUCA
rnacentral:rRNA from 1 species